GACGAACGCUGGCGGCGUGCUUAACACAUGCAAGUCGAACGGAAAGGCCCUGCUUUUGUGGGGUGCUCGAGUGGCGAACGGGUGAGUAACACGUGAGUAACCUGCCCUUGACUUUGGGAUAACUUCAGGAAACUGGGGCUAAUACCGGAUAGGAGCUCCUGCUGCAUGGUGGGGGUUGGAAAGUUUCGGCGGUUGGGGAUGGACUUGCGGCUUAUCAGCUUGUUGGUGGGGUAGUGGCUUACCAAGGCUUCGGCGGUUAGCCGGCCUGGGAGGGUGACCGGCCACAUUGGGACUGAGAUACGGCCCAGACUCCUACGGGGGGCAGCAGGGGGGAAUAUUGCACAAUGGGCGGAAGCCUGAUGCAGCAACGCCGCGUGCGGGAUGACGGCCUUCGGGUUGUAAACCGCUUUCGCCUGUGACGAAGCGUGAGUGACGGUAAUGGGUAAAGAAGCACCGGCUAACUACGUG
rnacentral:rRNA from 1 species